AUAACUGGUUUGUUGAGGCCAGUUAUACUGUGACAUUGCUUUUUCGACUUGACUCUUCAUAGCAUUGUGAAGUAGAAACCACCAAGCUUUCGAUUAAUUUGAUUCAUUCACUAAUAGGGAAUGUAAGCUGGAUUUAGGCUGUUGUGAGACAGGUU
rnacentral:ncRNA from 1 species